GACGAACGCUGGCGGCGUGCUUAACACAUGCGAGUCGAACGGAAAGGCCCUGCUUGCAGGGUACUCGAGUGGCGAACGGGUGAGUAACACGUGGGUGAUCUGCCCUGCACUUCGGGAUAAGCUUGGGAAACUGGGUCUAAUACCGGAUAGGACCGCACUUUAGUGUGUGUGGUGGAAAGUUUUUUCGGUGUAGGAUGAGCUCGCGGCCUAUCAGCUUGUUGGUGGGGUAAUGGCCUACCAAGGCGGCGACGGGUAGCCGGCCUGAGAGGGUGUACGGCCACAUUGGGACUGAGAUACGGCCCAGACUCCUACGGGAGGCAGCAGUGGGGAAUAUUGCACAAUGGGCGCAAGCCUGAUGCAGCGACGCCGCGUGGGGGAUGAAGGCCUUCGGGUUGUAAACUCCUUUCGCUAGGGACGAAGCUUUGUUGUGACGGUACCUAGAUAAGAAGCACCGGCUAACUACGUG
rnacentral:rRNA from 1 species